GAUGAACGCUGGCGGUAGGCUUAACACAUGCAAGUCGAAGGGAAGGGUGCCCUUGGGGUUCUUCGACUGAUGGAGGGCGGCGCAAGAGUGCAUUACGCGUCCCCAACCUGCCUGACAGAGGCGGGUAACCGGGGGAAAGACCGGCUAAGAAUGCGUACACUAUGGAGAGGGUUGCCAAACCCCGGCGGUGUUGGUUGGCCUCGCGGCAUACCAGCUUGCCGGUGGGGUAGUGGCGUACCAACGCCUUGACGGGUAGCCGGCCUGAGGGGGCGACCGGCCACAUUGGGACUGAGAUACGGCCCAGACUCCUACGGGAGGCAGCAGUGGGGAAUAUUGCACAAUGGGCGGAAGCCUGAUGCAGCAACGCCGCGUGCGGGAUGACGGCCUUCGGGUUGUAAACCGCUUUCAGCAGGGGCGAAGCGUGUGGUGACGGUACCUGCAGAAGAAGCACCGGCUAACUACGUG
rnacentral:rRNA from 1 species